AAAAACGUGCCUGAAAUUCACUACCGUCCCAUCUUACAUCAAGCGCGGUAAAAACUAAAACUAGAACCUAUGAGCGGGCAUCAUCUCGGGCAGAUUCGCGACUUUUCGCGCCAGCGUUUUUCUCCGCGCUGUCCUACCCAGGCCAACCCGCCGUCUUCAACAUCACCAUCACUGCCAACUCUCCGUGCAAGCCUUCGGUGAUGCAGUCCCCAACGCUGACUGAGCCACCCGCUAACCGCGCGGAGGUGCUGCUGCUUAUCGCUGCCUACCUCUCCACUGUCGUGCUAGCAUCAUUCAACCCAAACCCAGCACGAUCUCCCGCUGGUGGAAAAGGUCAGUCACUAACCACGUUGCGCUAGCCAACAUUCCGGGCUGGUAACAAAUUGGGAGAUGCACUCGACAUACCAGAGAUGACCACAGGGGAAUCGGGGAGAUCGUCUUGCUGGUGCUCACUUGUGAUUCUUGGGAUGCAUGCAGUCUGUCUGUUUGACUAAAUGCUUCAUAGCCUUGUUUAUUUCACUUAUGCAUAAAACAUAUUGAUUAGAUUUUAAUCCUGUAAAUUACAUAAAUUCCUUCUUCUAUAUGUGAUUAAUAAAUCAUCUUGGUUCUUAAAUGAGAA